AUUGAACGCUGGCGGCAGGCCUAACACAUGCAAGUCGCGCGGAUGAAGGGAGCUUGCUCCUGGAUUCAGCGGCGGACGGGUGAGUAAUGCCUAGGAAUCUGCCUGGUAGUGGGGGAUAACGUCCGGAAACGGGCGCUCAUACCGCAUACGUCCUGAGGGAGAAAGUGGGGGAUCUUCGGACCUCACGCUAUCAGAUGAGCCUAGGUCGGAUUAGCUAGUUGGUGGGGUAAAGGCCUACCAAGGCGACGAUCCGUAACUGGUCUGAGAGGAUGAUCAGUCACACUGGAACGGAGACACGGUCCAGACUCCUACGGGAGGCAGCAGUGGGGAAUAUUGGACAAUGGGCGAAAGCCUGAUCCAGCCAUGCCGCGUGUGUGAAGAAGGUCUUCGGAUUGUAAAGCACUUUAAGUGGGGAGGAAGGGCAGUAAGUUAAUACCGUGCUGUUUUGACGUUACCAACAGAAUAAGCACCGGCUAACUUCGUG
rnacentral:rRNA from 1 species